CAGCUUCUCCGCCUCAUCACGGGCCCCGAACCGAUAGGGGGCCACCACGAAGUGGUCGAGGACGAGGAUUUCUCAUUCAAAUCCACCAUCUCGAAGUCGUGGUCACUGCUGUCGCCCCCCUGGUCCGCCCCGGAGGCAUUUGGCUCACCCUCCAAGCCCCGCCCCGUCCCGACUGGGUCCCCAAGGAUCGCUCCUCUCCCGCCGCGGCGGCGCGUUGGGAAACAGGGCCAUCGCUGCCGGGGGCGCGCAGUCCUCCCUGGGCCUGAAGAGGAGGCGAGGCUGCAGCAGGUGCAGGUGGAUGAGGGCCAUCAAGCUGAGCACCGCGCCCCCUCCGUCCGCCACUCGGGGCCCGGAGCGGGGAGGGGGGAGGUCCAGGCAAAAGUAGGGGUUUGGCUCGGCCUUCCCCGCCACCUCCUGGUCGGGGCACUCGGGGUCCGGGCCGUCUCCGCCCCCGCCCGCUGCAUCCUCCUCUUGGCCAGCGGGGACCGGAUCCUCUGCCGAGGGUCCCCCGCUGCCACCAUCUCCACCCUCCGCGGGCCCUCGGCCUUGGUGGUCCAGCUUCUCGCUGGCCCGGGCGGUCUCCAGGAAGAAAACUUUCAUAAAGAUGACAAGCACUCUUCAGCUGAAACUCACAAGCAUGCAAAGGGAGUGGGUUUUUUGAUACUCGAGGGGGUCAGAGAAGGGGUAACAGCGAUUGGAGAUACAAAGGACAAGGAGAGGGUAAUGAAGGAUAUCUGGGUGGCUGAAGCCAAAGCGAACAAGUAUUCAGUGGGAAGAGCACUGGUCACACCGUCCACUUACUACGAUGCAGAAGUCGCUUCAGAAAACUCUGUGGAAAUUCAAAACAUUCUCCCAGCCAAUGUGCCUCAUGCUGUGACAGCCAGAGUCUGACCAGGACCACCAGUCUUCAGUGAGGUAGAGGAGAGAGCUGACUACAAACCUGCCCUGCUGUGCACCUUGGUUGAAGUUCUUCCACCCUUAAUUUGCUGCCUAUGACUCCUUGCUAUCCGGCUCUUCCACACAUGAUAGGCAUUGAGGAUGCUUUGUGUCUUCUUUGGUAAGUGAAGCCUGUGUGACAGGUACUACAGCCUUCUCCCCAGGACGCAGACACCUAGCACAGAAUCUGAGGACUCUCAUAGUUUCAUGGCAUAAAGACGUGUUUCUUUCUCCACCAUUCAUGGGCAUAAGGACAGGCAAAACAGAGAGAAGGAUAGUUAGAAAGGAAAGAAGAUGAAACCCGGGCACAGGGGAAAUGAGGAUGCUGGACACAACAUACCCAUGGUGUUCUCUAAUUUUCUAUAGGGAAGAAUUCAACACAGUCCAGCCUCACCUACACAGCAGAUCAUUCAGUA
rnacentral:lncRNA from 1 species